AUGCAACACAUUGCACUGCAGCGCGCGCACACCAUGGAUGUACUCCUGUCACUCGUCUCGCUUCUUCUGAUUACUGGAGGAGGCAGUCCUCAUGUGAGCUUCGCCAAUGCGGCCACGACGAACUCGGUGACGCCGAGGGCGUACUGGGAGGCGGUGCUUCCCGGAACUCCAAUUCCCCCAGCCGUCAGCGACCUGUUAGUCCAACAAGAAGUGCGUGCCUCUCCAGACGAUAUUGAUCUCAAGUUUGUCAAAGGACUACGAAAAAUCGGACCAUAUUAUAAGAAACUCAAGUCAGAAGCUGAUCAAGGGGAAGAACAUAGUCAUACUGCAUCACAAGCUGAACAUAAGUUAAAGGAGGACUCUUUGUCGUAUGGAUCAAAAGAUGGAGACAAUUUAAAGGAGGUCUCUGUGUCAUAUGGGGCAAAAGUUGGAGAGAGACCGGAAAAAGUCUCGGUGUCUUAUGGGGUAGGUGCCAAAGAUGUUCCAAAGAGAGACUUCGUGGCACAAGAAGAUGUGAAGGAGGUUUCUCUGUCAUAUGAAUCAAAAGGUGAAAAUAAUUUAAAAGAAGUAUCUGUGUCACAUGGAUCAAAAAAUAGAGACUUUGUGGCACAAGAAGGAGAUCUAAAAGAAGUCUCAGUGUCAUAUGGGUUAGAUGAAGGAAAAAAUGAACAUAUUGAAGUCUUGAAUCAAGGUGAAGAUGAUCCACAUAGAGUCACAAUGUCAUACAGGCCAGAACAAGAAGAUGAUCCCAAUAAAGCUACAAUGACAUACAAGGCAGAACAAGAAGAUGAUCCCAAUAAAGUUACAAUGUCAUAUAGGUCAGAACAAGAGGAAGAUCCACAUAAAGUCACAAUGUCAUAUGGGUCGAAACAAGAAGAUGAUCCCAAUAAAGUUACAAUGACAUAUAGGUCAGAACAAGAAGAAGAUCCACAUAAAGUUACAAUGUCAUAUGGGUCGCAACAAGAAGAUGAUCCCAAUAAAGCUACGAUGACAUAUAGGUCAGAACAACAAGAAGAUCCACAUAAAGUUACAAUGUCAUACGGGUCAAACCAUGCAGAGUAUACAAAUAAACUUACAAUGACAUAUGGGUCAAAAGAUGAAGUGGAUCCAAACAAAGCUACAAUGUCAUAUAGGUCGGAACAUGAAAAUGACCUAAAGACCGUUUCUACGGGGCAUAUGGCACACAUAGAAGCAACAGGAAAGGCGAGCCACCAUGUUCACUCUCAUAGCCACAUGAACAAAAGACAGGCGGAUGUUUUCUUCUUCCGCGACAUGCUGCGGCCAGGGUCAAUGAUCACCCCGACCAUCCCGCCGACCAACUCCUUGCCGACGCUUCUUCCCCGCCACGUCGCCGACUCCCUUCCAUUCUCCAUCGAGCGCCUCCCGGACAUCGUCGCGAUGUUUGCGCCAACGUCCCUUGGGAUGAUUAGAGACAUUCGGUGGACGCUGGACACCUGUGAGCACCCACGGACGCUCCCCGGCGAAAAAGCAGGAUGCGCCACCUCCCUCGAGUCCCUCGGCGAGCUCACGACGUCCCUUCUCAGAACGUCCAACGUCCGUGCGUUCUCCGCCGCCAAGCUUCCCGUGGAAGCCCCGGGCACACCGGCACUGCGGGGGAGGUACAACGUGACGGCUGCCCGAAGGCUCUCCAAGUCAUCGGAGAUCGUGACCUGCCACGACUUGACGUACCCGUAUGCGGUGUACUACUGCCACACAUCCAACCCCACCGCCGCGUACGCGGUGACGCUGGCGAGCGUGGAUGGGGGCGCGGCGCCAGCGACAAUGGAGGCGUUGGCCGUGUGCCACCUCGACACGUCGCAAUGGAGCCUGAAGCACCCGUUCUUUGCGCUGCACAACGUCAAGCCAGGGGAUGUCGCUGUGUGCCACUUCCUCACCAAGCUAAGCGUGGUGUGGGUGCAGGCCGGCGAGCCCGGAAACGCACAUGCGGCGGCCCGGUAG
rnacentral:rRNA from 1 species